rnacentral:rRNA from 1 species
AUGUAUCGAGAUGAACAACCUCGCAUCCCGUUCAGCAAAAGAAAGGGAUUUGAAGAAAUACAUUUUCUCAGUCCACGCGGGAUCCUACUAAAACAAGACCCAUCAACCUUUCAACCACCAAAACUCGUGGCUGAGCUUGAAAGGGCUAUGAAAAUGUUCAAGGUUCAAAAGUUUGACCUCCUCUUUUUCACAAUUGUGCAUGAUCUCCAUUGGAUAGUUGUUUGCGCAAACUUGCUUCACAAGCAGUGGAAUGUAUUUGACUCAAUCCAUUCAAAAGGAAAACAAUCUCCUUUGAAGAAGCAAGCCAAUAACCUGAUCACAAACUUUGCAACCCUCGCACAAGAGUGCAGCGAAUUCAAUGUCAAUGUUGGAUCCUUCGCCCGUGUUGACCUAGAGGAUUACCCAAAGCAAGAUACCCUAUGUGAUUGUGGCUUUUUUGGGCUCAAAUAUGUGGAGAACUAUGAUGGGAAGUCAAUGAGAGAGUUCAAGCAGGAAGACAUGGCGCGAUACCGCAUCGAUGUGGCAUACAACCUUUUCAGUCACCCAAUGAACAAUGCCCCAAAGGAGCGGGCGUUCAAGGAUGAGUUGGCGGCUUGA